rnacentral:tRNA from 1 species
GCCUGGGUGGCUCAGCCGGUUAAGCGUCUGACUUCGGCUCAGGUCAUGAUCUCACGGUUCGUGAGUUCGAGCCCCACAUCGGGCU